UAAAAGUACAUGAUAAUGUCUAUAAAUAAUCUCUGAAGAGAGAGCUUUUAAGACAUUUCAUGGCACAUGCCCUAGGCUGGCUAAGUGGUGAGAGACAACAGGAGCACACGCCAGGAGAAUCAGUGCUGAUGAUUAAUGGGGCCUGCUCUGUGGAAGUCAGAUAUACAAAAUUCUUAAGGAAAAUGGCAUUUGGAGUUCAAGAUAUGAGAACUGGGUGUCAUCUGCUAUGCUCCAUCUGCAACAACGUGAGUAGCAGCUAUGAAGCCAACUGGGAAAGAGAUGAGCAGACUGUCAGAACUUUCAUCUUUAAUAUUUAUCACCAGAUGUACAUGUAAAAACACCUGUUUCUGGACACAUUUGUUGUAUGAGUCACGGUGUAGUCAUGGCUCCCAUGAGCCUUUGCAAACUAAAGCUGAAAUGAUAAC
rnacentral:lncRNA from 1 species